AAAGUCGUAACAAGGUUUCCGUAGGUGAACCUGCGGAAGGAUCAUUACCUUUCUGGUUCAUAUUAUAGCUUGGGUCUGGGGCUUGCAGUUUGCUGCAGUCUCUGACUACAUCCGUGUUCUUUGCGUACUACAUGUUUUCCUCGGCGGGGCUUGCUUGCCGGUUUGGACAAACUAAAACUCUUUUGCAAUUGCAAUCAGCGUCUGAAUUAUAUAAUAAUUACAA
rnacentral:misc_RNA from 1 species